ACUACGGGCGGCAGCAGUGGGGAAUAUUGGACAAUGGGCGAAAGCCUGAUCCAGCGAUGCCGCGUGUGUGAAGAAGGCCUUCGGGUUGUAAAGCACUUUCAGUGGGGAAGAAAGCCUUGGGGCUAAUACCCUCGAGGAAGGACAUCACCCACAGAAGAAGCACCGGCUAACUCCGUGCCAGCAGCCGCGGUAAUACGGAGGGUGCGAGCGUUAAUCGGAAUUACUGGGCGUAAAGCGCGCGUAGGCGGUCUGAUAAGCCGGUUGUGAAAGCCCCGGGCUCAACCUGGGAACGGCAUCCGGAACUGUCAGGCUAGAGUGCAGGAGAGGAAGGUAGAAUUCCCGGUGUAGCGGUGAAAUGCGUAGAGAUCGGGAGGAAUACCAGUGGCGAAGGCGGCCUUCUGGACUGACACUGACGCUGAGGUGCGAAAGCGUGGGUAGCAAACAGGAUUAGAUACCCUGGUAGUC
rnacentral:rRNA from 1 species